CCUCGUCGAUCUGCUGGGGGCAGAUGAAAUGGAUGUGGCAGUCGAUGCCGCCGGCGGUGAGGAUCUUGCCCUCGCCCGCGAUGGCCUCGGUGCCGGGGCCGACGACGAUCGUCACGCCCGGCUGCGUGUCGGGAUUGCCGGCCUUGCCGAUGGCGUGGAUGCGCCCGUCGCGAAGGCCGACAUCGGCCUUGUAGAUGCCGGUGUGGUCGACGAUCAGCGCGUUGGUGAUGACCGUGUCGACCGCCCCGUCCGCCCGGCUCGCCUGGCUCUGGCCCAUGCCGUCGCGGA
rnacentral:sRNA from 1 species